UCAUAGAAUCUGUAUCAAUUUUGUGUGGAGUGAUGAGUGUAUACUAGUGUAUUUCAGUUUGAUAUUGCGAUGAGUAUAGCUUUGAUGAGUGUAUACUUUGAUGAGUGUAUUUCAGUUUGAUAUUGCGAUGAGUAUAGCUUAAACACUGGAAGAAAAUAAAUAAAUAGUUGUUUAUAUGCCUAGAGCACCUCAGGAUCAUGUUUAGUAGCAGAUGCAAAUAUAUCUGCAGAGAACACUGUUUCGAUACAGACGGAUGAUUCAACUGAAUGUAAAAUUUGCAGAA
rnacentral:lncRNA from 1 species